rnacentral:rRNA from 1 species
ACUUUAAUUGAAGAGUUUGAUCAUGGCUCAGAUUGAACGCUGGCGGCAGGCCUAACACAUGCAAGUCGAGCGGUAACAUUUCAAAAGCUUGCUUUUGAAGAUGACGAGCGGCGGACGGGUGAGUAAUGCCUGGGAAUUUGCCCAUUUGUGGGGGAUAACAGUUGGAAACGACUGCUAAUACCGCAUAC